CGUUUAUAUUCCACUGCACUUACAGUCUCAACCAGGGGUUUAGUAAGGCGUUGAUAUAUUUUUUGUGUGACAUUUUAAAGCUGCCACAAUAUGUGUAUUGUACUGUAGCUACCUACCUCUGCGUAAUCUAUUUGUGGCAUAUGUUAAUUGUGAUAGUCACCCCGAAAAGUCCUUAACCCUAAUUCAACAGGCGUUUUCUCUGGGUGAGGGCAUGAUGACAGAUUUCAGUUGUGUCUGCCUUUAUACCUCUGCCAUUAAUUACAUUGAGUGAGCUUAAAGAGAUCUCCCGGGAACUUUUGUAUACUUUUUUUGCCAGUAGUUCUAAAAUUAGACCCCAUGAGCCAAAAGUGGUCCCCGAAAAUUGCGUACUAUAUGCACCACGUGCUUACUCGCUCUCUCUCGCUGCUCUGUGUACAUGUGCAUGGAGUUUCCACUGAGCCGUUAGGCCUGCCCUGCAACCUCAUUGGAUAAUGCUGGGCAGGCCUGGGCCAGCCUUCUUUUUUCACUGUGCAACCUCAUUGGACCUGAUCACAUGAUAGUGCCUUCAUUGGAAAAAACAAAUGUCAUGCAUGUAUCUCUCUCACGCACUCACUCACUCCCUCAAGCCAGCCAUAGAGGAAGGUUACUUCAGUCAUAAUUGUGCGAAAAAACUUGAAUGCUAUUGAUACUUAUGAUGUCAGGCCUAAGAAGAGAAAACUAGAUCUAGAUGUGAAAGACAAAGGCAGAAGGCAAAAUAAUAGAUAUUGGAUGCUUUUCCGAGAUGGCCUCAAGGAAGAGAAACACUGUUGCCUCAUCCAGUGUUGGACAUCCAUAAAAGUAAUCUUCGGGCGAAAGACAAGAAUUACUGAUAGAAGAACAAGGAAUAGCAGAGCUGGUUUCAGACAUGCCAGAUGAUCAAACAUGCAAGAGGCUCUUGGCGACAGGAGAUGGACAUCAGCAGGCCCACAUCCACCACACCUUGACCUUCCUGUGGCCUUGGCAAUCCCCUUACCACACUGGAGUUGCAAUAACCAAGCAAGAAACAUAUUACUAUUCACCCAGACUACUACUGUUAUUUUUCUGGAACUUUCUUUUCAAAAAACAACCAGUGGAUUUCUGAACUUUACACAACUCAUAAAUUCACACAUAAACAAAUGUCAACAUGGAUUUUCAUAACACACCUAGACCUACCUAUAAAGCUAUGGCUGCAGUAAGCUCUAAUAACCUUGUCAAUUAUUUAUACACAUUUUUAAAGGCCAAUCAUAUGAUUAUGGCUUGCUUCCAAUAAGAAAACACACAACACAUAUUAUUCUUAUACAAUUCCUGUGUUUCUUACAUAUGUGACAAUAUAUACUGCCACCGUGUAGUUCUGUAUUUUGUGUAUGAAUGUGGCCUACUUCAUAUAAGACAUAUAGUCCACUUAUAUUAGUUACAUGUUUCCGCAGUACCCAUAUAAGAAUACUUUUGAUUCAUAGAGACCCUUUCGAAAGUACCAUACGUGGCAGAGUUAUACAGGUGUAAUAGGAUGGGCUAUUGUGCUAGAAAAUGUUUAAUAGGUUACUGGAAUUAUAUUGAAUAUUGUUUAUUCAUGCUAUCAAGUAUCCCUGCAUUAGAGUGGGAAAGAGAGUUAUGUUCAGAAGUGAUGCAUUUUUAUAAUGAAUUAGUCCUAUGAAAUAUCCAUUGACAUUUUGCAUGCUGAGCGCUAUUGCAAAUGCACCUCAUACCUCGUAUCAUUUGCUCCCUCAUUCUCUCGGUCCUCGGCCCUAGAGCAUCUAUUCCAGCCCUCGCUGCUCGACUUGGACCCUGGGCAGCUCGAGCCUGGCCCUGGGGUACACGCACCUUGUACAACCUGUCCUUGUCCUCCUCUCAUCUGUGGACCAUGUCCUCUUCCUCGGCUAGUCUGAUGACGAGCAACACAUUGUAUACAUUUAUUGUCAAUAUGGGAAGCUUCUAAUAGUCUUGUGGUUUUUAGAUUUCAUAUGUUAAUGGUAAGUAAUAAAAAGUAAUUACUGAAGUUAUGAAUGGGUACUGCUAAUCCUGUAGCUUUAUUAGUAUGACAUUUUCAUUAGCUACAUAUCCACUAUGUGGAGUACUAUGAAGUAUAGCUAGCGAUAGCCAGAGCCUUUUUUUUCCUGUUUCAAAAUACAUGGCUCAAUAUAUGGCUCUAGCUGUAACUAACAAACUAGCCUAGCUCGA